rfam:Neurospora crassa OR74A linkage group V, whole genome shotgun sequence.
AAUACCCUUCGGAAUUAACUAGUAAUUUAUAAUAACUUCUCGAAUUAUAUAACUUUACACUAACAAUAGUUUAUUUAAAUUUCUACUUUAUUAAUUUUCAACAGCUAGAUUUUAGCUAACUAUAGUAAUAACGGGUAAUAGAGGGUUAGGGCUCGACCCUAGAGAAGGAGCCUAAAAAACGGCUACUAUAUCCAAAGAAGGUAAUAAGCGUACAAAUUACCCAAUCCCGAUACGGGGAGGUAAUAAUAAUAAAUAUUAAUAUAAGGCUUUUUUAGGUUUUAUAAUUAGAAUAAGUACAAUUUAAAUCCUUUAACGAGGAAUAAUUGGAGGGCAAGUCUAAUACUAAUAGCUACGGUAAUUCUAAUUCCAAUAGCAUAUAUUAAAAUUAUUAAAAUUAAAAAGCUCGUAGUUAAACCUUAGGCUCGGCCCGUCGGUCCGCCUUACCGCAUAUACUAAUUAAGUUAGGCCUUUUUUCCUAGAGAAUUAUAUACCCUUUACUAGGUAUAUUGAGGAAUUAGGAUUUUUAUUAUAAAUAAAUUAGAUUAUUUAAAGAAGGCCUAUAUUCGAAUGUAUUAGUAUAGAAUAAUAGAAUAGGACGUAUAGUUCUAUUUUAUUAAUUUUUAGGACUGCCGUAAUAAUUAAUAAGGAUAAUCAGGAGUAUUAAUAUUUAAUUAUUAGAAGUAAAAUUCUUGGAUUUAUUAAAGACUAACUACUACGAAAAUAUUUACUAAGGAUAUUUUUAUUAAUUAGGAACGAAAAUUAGGGGAUCGAAGAUAAUUAAAUACUAUUAUAAUUUUAAUUAUAAAUUAUACUAAUUAAAGAUCGGACGGUAUUAUUUUUUAAUCCGUUCGGCACUUUACAAUAAAUUAAAAUAUUUAAGCUCCUAGGGGAGUAUAAUUGUAAAAUUGAAACUUAAAGAAAUUAACAGAAGGGUACUACUAAGGGUAGAACCUAUAGUUUAAUUUAAUUUAAUAUAGGGAAACUUACUAAGUCCAAAUACAAUAAGGAUUAACAAAUUAAAAGCUCUUUCUUAAUUUUGUAAAUAGUAGUAUAUAACUAUUCUUAGUUAGUAGAAUAAUUUAUUUAUUUAAUUACAAUAAUAAAUAAAACCUUAACCUACUAAAUAGCCCGUAUUACUUUAGUAAUAUACUAGCUUCUUAAAGGGACUAUCGGCUUAAACCGAUAGAAAUUUAAAGUAAUAACAAAUUUAUAAUACCCUUAAAUAUUCUAGGCCGUAUACAUACUAUACUAAUAUAACUAGCGAAUACUCCCUUAACUGGAAAAUCCGGGUAAUCUUAUUAAAUUGUAUUAUACUAGGGAUAGAAUAUUAUAAUUAUUAUUCUUUAAUAAAAAAUCCCUAGUAAAUAUAAAUUAUUAAUUUAUAUUAAUUAUAUUCCUACCCUUUAUAUAUACUACCUAUUGCUACUACUAAUUAAAUAGCUCAAUAAGGCUUCCGAAUUAGCCUAAGGAAGUCGGUAACGAUUACCUAAAGCCGGAAAACUAUCCAAACUUAGUUAUUUAAAGGAAGUAAAAGUCGUAAUAAAAUCUCCGUUAGUAAAUUAACGGAAGGAUUAUUA